rnacentral:rRNA from 1 species
CAGUCGCCACGGUAAUACGUAGGGUGCGAGCGUUAGUCGGAAUUACUGGGCGUAAAGCGUGCGCAGGCGGUUAUAUAAGACAGUUGUGAAAUCCCCGGGCUCAACCUGGGAACUGCAUCUGUGACUGUAUAGCUAGAGUACGGUAGAGGGGGAUGGAAUUCCGCGUGUAGCAGUGAAAUGCGUAGAUAUGCGGAGGAACACCGAUGGCGAAGGCAAUCCCCUGGGCCUGUACUGACGCUCAUGCACGAAAGCGUGGGGAGCAACCAGGAUUAGAUACCCCCGUAGUCCCUGUCUCUUAUAC